UACAGAGGUCCCAAGCGUUGUUCGGAUUCACUGGGCGUAAAGGGUGCGUAGGCGGUCGGGUAAGUCUGAUGUGAAAUCUCACAGCUUAACUGUGAAACUGCAUUGGAUACUAUCCGGCUCGAGGAAUGGAGGGGAGACUGGAAUACUUGGUGUAGCAGUGAAAUGCGUAGAUAUCAAGUGGAACACCAGUGGCGAAGGCGAGUCUCUGGACAUUUCCUGACGCUGAGGCACGAAAGCCAGGGAGCGAAACGGG
rnacentral:rRNA from 1 species